GCUGUGUUAGUAUAAAGUAAUAUAUGUGAUUUCCAAUCAUGGGAUCCUUUA
rnacentral:tRNA from 1 species